UACGGAGGGUGCAAGCGUUAAUCGGAAUUACUGGGCGUAAAGCGCACGUAGGUGGUUUGCUAAGUCAGCUGUGAAAUCCCCGGGCUCAACCUGGGCACUGCAGUUGAAACUGGCAAGCUAGAGUAGGGUAGAGGGGUGUGGAAUUCCAGGUGUAGCGGUGAAAUGCGUAGAUAUCUGGAGGAACACCGGUGGCGAAGGCGGCAUCCUGGACCGGUAUUGACGCUGAGGCGCGGAAAGCCAGGGGAGCAAAGCGGG
rnacentral:rRNA from 1 species